AAUGCUUGACGGGCAUAACAUGCUUGUUGGGGGUUGUAGUUCGCUGAUUGGAAUUGUUGCUCAUUGUACGUGGUGGUGCAUGAGUCGUAUCACGAUCGUUUGGGUAGGCAGGCUCCGUGCUCGCGCAUCGAAUUGCUUCCCCGCGAUCCUUUCAGUCCUAGCCCAAGUGAAUGUUUUGUAAGUGGGCAAAUGUCGGGUUCCUGUGUUGCAUACCCACACUAGUGGAAUUCAAUGAUGUUGCUGUCCCAUAUUUCGCCUUUGUGCCUCU
rnacentral:lncRNA from 1 species